CACGUAGGGCGCAAGCGUUUGUCCGGAAUUAUUGGGCGUAAAGAGCUCGUAGGCGGUCUGUUGCGUCCGCUGUGAAAACUCGGGGCUUAACCCCGAGCCUGCAGUGGAUACGGGCAGACUAGAGGUAGGUAGGGGAGAAUGGAAUUCCGCGUGUAGCAGUGAAAUGCGUAGAGAUCGGGAGGAACAUCAGUGGCGAAGGCGGCCAUCUGGGACAACACUGACGCUGAGGCACGAAAGCGUGGGGAGCAAACAGGG
rnacentral:rRNA from 1 species